rnacentral:rRNA from 1 species
AUUGAACGCUGCGGCAGGCUUAACACAUGCAAGUCGAGCGAGCGGCGGACGGGUGAGUAAUGCUUAGGAAUCUGCCUCUUAGUGUGGGACAACCUCUCGAAAGGGAUGCUAAUACCGCAUACUAAUAGAUUAGCCUUAGUCGGAGUAGCUAGUUGGUGGGGUAAAGGCCUACCAAGGCGACGAUCUGUAGCGGGUCUGCGAGGAUGAUCCGCCACACUGGGACGGAGACACGGCCCAGACUCCUACGGGAGGCAGCAGUGGGGAAUAUUGGGCAAUGGGGGGAAGUCUGAACCAGCAAUGCCGCGUGUGUGAAGAAGGCCUUAUGGUUGUAAAGCACUUUAAGCGGGGAGGCGUUACUCGAAGAAUAAGCACCGGCUAACUCUGUGCCAGCAGCCGCGGUAAUUC